rnacentral:rRNA from 1 species
CCUACGGGAGGCAGCAGUGAGGAAUAUUGGUCAAUGGACGAGAGUCUGAACCAGCGAAGUAGCGUGAAGGAUGACUGCCCUAUGGGUUGUAAACUUCUUUUAUAUGGGAAUAAAAUGUUCCACGUGUGGGAUUUUGUAUGUACCAUAUGAAUAAGGAUCGGCUAACUCCGUGCCAGCAGCCGCGGUAAUACGGAGGAUCCGAGCGUUAUCCGGAUUUAUUGGGUUUAAAGGGAGCGUAGGUGGAUUGGUAAGUCAGUUGGGAAAGUUUGCGGCUCAACCGUAAAAUUGCAGUUGAAACUGGCAGUCUUGAGUACAGUAGAGGUGGGCGGAAUUCGUGGUGUAGCGGUGAAAUGCUUAGAUAUCACGAAGAACUCCGAUUGCGAAGGCAGCUCACUGGACUGCAACUGACACUGAGGCUCGAAAGUGUGGGUAUCAAACAGGAUUAGAUACCCGGGUAGUC